CCCGUGUCUGUGUGUCUGUCCAUGUCUGUGUGUCUGCCUGUCCGUGUGUCUGUGCCCAAGUGUCUGUGUGUCUGUUCUUGUCUGUGUGUCUGUCCAUGUCUGUGUGUCUGCCUGUCCGUGUGUCUGCGUGCCUGUGUCCAAGUGUCUGUGUGUCUGUUCUUGUCUGUGCCCAUGUGUCUGUGUGUCUGUGUGUCUGUGCUUGUCUGUGCCCAUGUGUCUGUGUGUCUGUGCCUGUCUGUGUGCCUGUGCCCAUGUGUGUCUGUGCCCGUGUGUCUGUGCCCAUGUCUGUGUGUCUGUGCCCGUCUGUGUGUCUGUGCCCGUCUGUGUGUCUGUGCCUGUGUGUCUGUGCCCAUGUCUGUGUGUCUGUGCCCGUCUGUGUGUCUGUCUGUCUGCCUGUGCCCAUGUCUGUGUUUCGGUGUCCGUGUUUGUAUGUCUGUGCCUGUGUCCAUGUCUGUGUGUCUGUGCCUGUGUGUCUGUGGCCAUGUCUGUCUGUGAGUCCAUGUCUGUCUGUGUCUGUCUGUAUGUCUGUGUCUGUCUGUAUGUCUGUGUGCAGGUGUCUGUAUGUCUGUGCUCCUGUGUCUGUGUGUCUGCACCCAUGUCUUUACCCGUCUGUGAGUCCGUGUGUGUGUGUCUGUCUGUGUGUCUGUGUCUGUCUGUCUGUACCCGUCUGUGUGUCUGUGCCCCUGUGUCUCAGUGUGUCAGUGCCCGCUGAUGAGCCCAGAGCCAGCAGAGCCCAGCUGGAUAAGCGCUGCCAUCCCCAUCCCUCCGUGUGCCACACUAACCCCAAACCUCCCCUAAUUCCUCUCUGUGGGAAAAACAGGCUGCCAUAAACACAAGGCAAAGCAUUGGGAAAUAUUGUGCAGGUCUUUUCACCUGGAUUUUAACAGUUUUACUGUCUGUCCUUGUAAUUUUAAAGUACUUUCCUGAGAAUCCUUUGAAUUAUUCAUCCAUUGUGCAGUAAGGCCAACGUAGAACACCACUAAAAUAUUAUGCAGGUACUGAAUGGGGAAGUGCUUUGUCUAUUUGCUAUUGUGUUAUUUAAAC
rnacentral:lncRNA from 1 species